GGACCUUAAACUAAGAAAAACUCGCAAGAAACAACCUUUUAUAACCCAUGGUCAAUGUUUCCCAAACCCUUCAAAAUAAUUUAGAAUUCCGGACCGGAAAAUACUGCCCAAACCCGCAAAAUUUCGUGGAGGGCUCAUCUUGAUCAGGUCUACCUAAGCUUAACCAUAAAUAAACAAUCUGAUAUGGCACCCCACAUGACUAAAUUGACGAUGAAAAACAGUGAUAUUCAACUCUUCUGGCCUUGAAUGACAAAAAAUCUUAGGGUGAAAUUAGACAGUUUAUAAGAAUCUAAUAUAACAAUUUAAACAUUAAAAAAAAAGUUGAAAAGUCAAAGAGAAACCACACAAACAAAAAAGUAUAUGCAGGCAUUGCACGAAGUUUCAAAGUCAAAGAGAAACCACAAUGCACGCAAGCAAUUAGGUGAAACUCUCAGGCCAAACCCUCAUCCCAUAUACUCCAUAAAUCAAUUGAUAAUUUCUACCUGAUUCGGUUAUCCCUUCUCCAUAGACCAUAAACCAUUUUUUCCUAAGAAAUUCAGACUAACAAAGUAAAUGGCAGUUUGGGUAGGAUUGCUGGUGGUGGUUGCAUUUGUAUUGAGUGUGGUAAUAUCACCUGGAAUGGAGUUCCAGCUACCAGACCUCUCCCCGGUCUGUCUUCUCAUUUGCUGUGGACCUUGGUGCUAAUUUCAUUCAAAAGGGUCGAAUUUCAUUGUAUCUCAAAGGUCAGGUCAACUGGUCAAGUAGGUGAAAAUGAGGAAACUUUGGGAAUACAGUAACACUUGAGGUUUGAUUUUUAUUAAGAAGAGUAUCAACACUGGGUCCAGAAAUCUAAUUGCCUUGAAAUAUGAAUCAAGUGGAACUGUGCAAUUUGCACCAUGUAAAUUAAGCGAUUAUGUAUUUUGUUAUAAGUUAAUCCAAUCUU